GACGAACGCUGGCGGCGUGCUUAACACAUGCAAGUCGAACGGAAAGGCCCUGCUUUUGUGGGGUGCUCGAGUGGCGCACGGGUGAGUAACACGUGAGUAACCUGCCCUUGACUUUGGGAUAACUUCAGGAAACUGGGGCUAAUACCGGAUAGGAGCUCCUGCUGCAUGGUGGGGGUUGGACAGCUUAGGCGGAUGGGGAUGGACUCGCGGCUUAUCAGCUUGUUGGUGGGGUAGUGGCUUACCAAGGCUUUGACGGGUAGCCGGCCUGAGAGGGUGACCGGCGACAUUGGGACUGAGAGACGGCCCAGACGCCUACGGGAGGCAGCAGUGGGGAAUAUUGCACAAUGGGCGGAAGCCUGAUGCAGCAACGCCGCGUGCGGGAUGACGGCCUUCGGGUUGUAAACCGCUUUCGCCUGUGACGAAGCGUGAGUGACGGUAAUGGGUAAAGAAGCACCGGCUAACUACGUG
rnacentral:rRNA from 1 species